GCACUGCUGAGGAGGAGUCCCACAAUAGGACGAAACGGUCGUCCAGUGC
rfam:Schistosoma mansoni strain Puerto Rico chromosome W, complete genome